GGGUUGUGAGGUUAAGCGACUAAGCGUACACGGUGGAUGCCCUGGCAGUCAGAGGCGAUGAAGGACGUGCUAAUCUGCGAUAAGCGCCGGUAAGGUGAUAUGAACCGUUAUAACCGGCGAUUUCCGAAUGGGGAAACCCAGUGUGACUCGUCACACUAUCAUUAACUGAAUCCAUAGGUUAAUGAGGCGAACCGGGGGAACUGAAACAUCUAAGUACCCCGAGGAAAAGAAAUCAACCGAGAUUCCCCCAGUAGCGGCGAGCGAACGGGGAGGAGCCCAGAGCCUGAAUCAGCAUGUGUGUUAGUGGAAGCGUCUGGAAAGGCGCGCGAUACAGGGUGACAGCCCCGUACACAAAAGCGCAUGUGCUGUGAGCUCGAUGAGUAGGGCGGGACACGUGGUAUCCUGUCUGAAUAUGGGGGGACCAUCCUCCAAGGCUAAAUACUCCUGACUGACCGAUAGUGAACCAGUACCGUGAGGGAAAGGCGAAAAGAACCCCGGCGAGGGGAGUGAAAAAGAACCUGAAACCGUGUACGUACAAGCAGUGGGAGCCCCACCACUAAGCCAGUGGUGAACUCCACAUACGCAUCCUUUGCUGAUGGCAAUGGUUAACGGAGCGAAAGCGACGUUCAACCGCAAAACAAGCAGAGGGGGCUUAGUGGUGGGGUGACUGCGUACCUUUUGUAUAAUGGGUCAGCGACUUAUAUUCUGUAGCAAGGUUAACCGUAUAGGGGAGCCGCAGGGAAACCGAGUCUUAACCGGGCGUUAAGUUGCAGGGUAUAGACCCGAAACCCGGUGAUCUAGCCAUGGGCAGGUUGAAGGUUGGGUAACACUAACUGGAGGACCGAACCGACUAAUGUUGAAAAAUUAGCGGAUGACCUGUGGCUGGGGGUGAAAGGCCAAUCAAACCGGGAGAUAGCUGGUUCUCCCCGAAAGCUAUUUAGGUAGCGCCUCGUGAAUUCAUCUCCGGGGGUAGAGCACUGUUUCGGCUAGGGGGCCAUCCCGGCUUACCAACCCGAUGCAAACUGCGAAUACCGGAGAAUGUUAUCACGGGAGACACACGGCGGGUGCUAACGUCCGUCGUGAAGAGGGAAACAACCCAGACCGCCAGCUAAGGUCCCAAAGUCAUGGUUAAGUGGGAAACGAUGUGGGAAGGCCCAGACAGCCAGGAUGUUGGCUUAGAAGCAGCCAUCAUUUAAAGAAAGCGUAAUAGCUCACUGGUCGAGUCGGCCUGCGCGGAAGAUGUAACGGGGCUAAACCAUGCACCGAAGCUGCGGCAGCGACACUGUGUGUUGUUGGGUAGGGGAGCGUUCUGUAAGCCUGCGAAGGUGGCCUGUGAGGGUUGCUGGAGGUAUCAGAAGUGCGAAUGCUGACAUAAGUAACGAUAAAGCGGGUGAAAAGCCCGCUCGCCGGAAGACCAAGGGUUCCUGUCCAACGUUAAUCGGGGCAGGGUGAGUCGACCCCUAAGGCGAGGCCGAAAGGCGUAGUCGAUGGGAAACGGGUUAAUAUUCCCGUACUUGGUGUUACUGCGAAGGGGGGACGGAGAAGGCUAUGUUGGCCGGGCGACGGUUGUCCCGGUUUAAGCGUGUAGGUGUGUGUUCCAGGUAAAUCCGGUUCACUUUAACACUGAGGCGUGACGACGAGGCACUACGGUGCUGAAGCAACAAAUGCCCUGCUUCCAGGAAAAGCCUCUAAGCAUCAGGUAACAUCAAAUCGUACCCCAAACCGACACAGGUGGUCAGGUAGAGAAUACCAAGGCGCUUGAGAGAACUCGGGUGAAGGAACUAGGCAAAAUGGUGCCGUAACUUCGGGAGAAGGCACGCUGACAUGUAGGUGAAGUGAUUUACUCAUGGAGCUGAAGUCAGUCGAAGAUACCAGCUGGCUGCAACUGUUUAUUAAAAACACAGCACUGUGCAAACACGAAAGUGGACGUAUACGGUGUGACGCCUGCCCGGUGCCGGAAGGUUAAUUGAUGGGGUCAGCGCAAGCGAAGCUCCUGAUCGAAGCCCCGGUAAACGGCGGCCGUAACUAUAACGGUCCUAAGGUAGCGAAAUUCCUUGUCGGGUAAGUUCCGACCUGCACGAAUGGCGUAAUGAUGGCCAGGCUGUCUCCACCCGAGACUCAGUGAAAUUGAACUCGCUGUGAAGAUGCAGUGUACCCGCGGCAAGACGGAAAGACCCCGUGAACCUUUACUAUAGCUUGACACUGAACAUUGAGCCUUGAUGUGUAGGAUAGGUGGGAGGCUUUGAAGCGUGGACGCCAGUCUGCAUGGAGCCGACCUUGAAAUACCACCCUUUAAUGUUUGAUGUUCUAACGUGGACCCGUAAUCCGGGUUGCGGACAGUGUCUGGUGGGUAGUUUGACUGGGGCGGUCUCCUCCUAAAGAGUAACGGAGGAGCACGAAGGUUGGCUAAUCCUGGUCGGACAUCAGGAGGUUAGUGCAAUGGCAUAAGCCAGCUUGACUGCGAGCGUGACGGCGCGAGCAGGUGCGAAAGCAGGUCAUAGUGAUCCGGUGGUUCUGAAUGGAAGGGCCAUCGCUCAACGGAUAAAAGGUACUCCGGGGAUAACAGGCUGAUACCGCCCAAGAGUUCAUAUCGACGGCGGUGUUUGGCACCUCGAUGUCGGCUCAUCACAUCCUGGGGCUGAAGUAGGUCCCAAGGGUAUGGCUGUUCGCCAUUUAAAGUGGUACGCGAGCUGGGUUUAGAACGUCGUGAGACAGUUCGGUCCCUAUCUGCCGUGGGCGCUGGAGAACUGAGGGGGGCUGCUCCUAGUACGAGAGGACCGGAGUGGACGCAUCACUGGUGUUCGGGUUGUCAUGCCAAUGGCACUGCCCGGUAGCUAAAUGCGGAAGAGAUAAGUGCUGAAAGCAUCUAAGCACGAAACUUGCCCCGAGAUGAGUUCUCCCUGAGACUUAAAGUCUCCUGAAGGAACGUUGAAGACGACGACGUUGAUAGGCCGGGUGUGUAAGCGCAGCGAUGCGUUGAGCUAACCGGUACUAAUGAACCGUGAGGCUUAACCUUACAACGCCGAAG
rnacentral:rRNA from 1 species